UUCAGAUUCCGUUUUAUUAGUCACCUGGGGCCUAUGAGUAGUGUAUUCUACACAUCAGCAUGAAAACAUGGAUACUAUCUUCUCUGGGAACAAUGGGAGGUGAUAGCCACUUUGAAGGACAGCAUGGUUUCAUGGAUUUCUCCACAGAGACUCUUGCUGCAGCUCUGGACUGGGAUUUGAGGAUGUACAACAAGCAACUUGCUAGGUCCUUACCACGCUUGUUGCAGAUAGAAUGAAUAACAGGACAUCCCAAUCACCUUCAAUGGAUGGCAGACAAGGCUAUACUAUACUGUUCCUGAAAAUCACAAGUUGUAUCAUGACAUAUUACAUAAUGACAGUUUGCUCUUCUGAAUGUACAGAAAACCACCAAAUCUCUAGGAAAAAGACUCUAUUCUGGUGUUUACUAAUUGGUCACUGCCCCAAAAGUUUGUGAGGCUAUGUCUGUGCAGUUUAUUCAAUGACUAUUUAAUGCAAAAUAUAGAAAUGGUACUGGCAACUGGGAGCAAGGACCAGAAAUCUCUCUAUCCCAGAAAAAUGCACACUUCACUGGGCUACUCAUGUUCCUAGUGGCUUGUUUGCU